rnacentral:rRNA from 1 species
UUAGUGACUGGGAUAACUGGCCGAAAGGCUUGCUAAUACCAGAUAAGCCCCCGCUCUCUUCGGAGAGAGAGGGAAAAGGCGGCCUCUGUAAACAAGCUGUCACACUGAGAUGGGUCCGCGGCCCAUCAGCUAGUUGGCGGGGUAACGGCCCACCAAGGCAACGACGGGUAGCUGGUCUGAGAGGAUGAUCAGCCACACUGGAACUGAGACACGGUCCAG